UACGGAGGGAGCUAGCGUUGUUCGGAAUUACUGGGCGUAAAGCGCGCGUAGGCGGCUUUGUAAGUUAGAGGUGAAAGCCCGGGGCUCAACUCCGGAAUUGCCUUUAAGACUGCAUCGCUAGAAUCCGGGAGAGGUGAGUGGAAUUCCGAGUGUAGAGGUGAAAUGCGCAGAUAUCAGGAGGAACACCAAUGGCGAAAGCGGCAGACUUGACCCUUCCUGACGCUGAGUGCGCGAAAGCUAGGGGAGCAAACGGG
rnacentral:rRNA from 1 species